UCCAGAGGGGGCAAGCGUUGUUCGGAAUUACUGGGCGUAAAGGGCGCGUAGGCGGCCUGCUAAGUCGAACGUGAAAUCCCUGGGCUCAACCCAGGAACUGCGUCCGAUACUGGUUGGCUUGAAUCCGGGAGAGGGAUGUGGAAUUCCAGGUGUAGCGGUGAAAUGCGUAGAUAUCUGGAGGAACACCGGUGGCGAAGGCGACAUCCUGGACCGGUAUUGACGCUGAGGCGCGAAAGCCAGGGGAGCAAACGGG
rnacentral:rRNA from 1 species